UACCAAACUGUUGCCUCGGCGGGGUCACGCCCCGGGUGCGUCGCAGCCCCGGAACCAGGCGCCCGCCGGAGGAACCAACCAAACUCUUUCUGUAGUCCCCUCGCGGACGUAUUUCUUACAGCUCUGAGCAAAAAUUCAAAAUGAAUCAAAACUUUCAACAACGGAUCUCUUGGUUCUGGCAUCGAUGAAGAACGCAGCGAAAUGCGAUAAGUAAUGUGAAUUGCAGAAUUCAGUGAAUCAUCGAAUCUUUGAACGCACAUUGCGCCCGCCAGUAUUCUGGCGGGCAUGCCUGUCCGAGCGUCAUUUCAACCCUCGAACCCCUCCGGGGGAUCGGCGUUGGGGAUCGGGACCCCUCACACGGGUGCCGGCCCCGAAAUACAGUGGCGGUCUCGCCGCAGCCUCUCCUGCGCAGUAGUUUGCACAACUCGCACCGGGAGCGCGGCGCGUCCACGUCCGUAAAACACCCAACUUUCUGAAAUGUUGACCUCGGAUCAGGUAGGAAUACCCGCUGAACUUAAGCAUAUCAAUAAGCGGAGGAAA
rnacentral:rRNA from 1 species